rnacentral:rRNA from 1 species
AUUGAACGCUUUCUUCCUUCCUAACACAUGCAAGUCGAACGGUAACAGGAAGCAGCUUGCUGCUUUGCUGACGAGUGGCGGACGGGUGAGUAAUGUCUGGGAAACUGCCUGAUGGAGGGGGAUAACUACUGGAAACGGUAGCUAAUACCGCAUAACGUCGCAAGACCAAAGAGGGGGACCUUAGGGCCUCUUGCCAUCGGAUGUGCCCAGAUGGGAUUAGCUAGUAGGUGGGGUAACGGCUCACCUAGGCGACGAUCCCUAGCUGGUCUGAGAGGAUGACCAGCCACACUGGAACUGAGACACGGUCCAGACUCCUACGGGAGGCAGCAGUGGGGAAUAUUGCACAAUGGGCGCAAGCCUGAUGCAGCCAUGCCGCGUGUAUGAAGAAGGCCUUCGGGUUGUAAAGUACUUGCAGCGGGGAGGAAGGGAGUAAAGUUAAUACCUUUGCUCAUUGACGUUACCCGCAGAAGAAGCAACGGCUAACUCCGUG